rnacentral:rRNA from 1 species
UACAGAGGGUGCAAGCGUUAAUCGGAAUUACUGGGCGUAAAGCGCGCGUAGGUGGUUUGUUAAGUUGGAUGUGAAAUCCCCGGGCUCAACCUGGGAACUGCAUUCAAAACUGACAAGCUAGAGUAUGGUAGAGGGUGGUGGAAUUUCCUGUGUAGCGGUGAAAUGCGUAGAGAUGUGGAGGAACACCAGUGGCGAAGGCGGCCACCUGGUCUGAUACUGACGCUGAGGCGCGAAAGCGUGGGGAGCAAACAGG